UGGGGAAUAUUGCGCAAUGGGCGAAAGCCUGACGCAGCAACGCCGCGUGAGUGAUGAAGGCCUUCGGGUCGUAAAGCUCUGUCGGAGGGAACGAAUGCUCCUGAAGUUAACAGCCUCAGGAGGUGACGGUACCCUCAAAGGAAGCACCGGCUAACUCUGUGCCAGCAGCCGCGGUAAUACAGAGGGUGCAAGCGUUAAUCGGAGUUACUGGGCGUAAAGGGCACGUAGGUGGUUAUGUAAGUCAGUUGUGAAAUCCCCGGGCUUAACCUGGGAACUGCAGCUGAUACUGUAUGACUCGAGUCGAAGAGAGGGAAGCGGAAUUUCCGGUGUAGCGGUGAAAUGCGUAGAUAUCGGAAGGAACAUCUGUGGCGAAGGCGGCUUCCUGGCUUCAGACUGACACUGAGGUGCGAAAGCGUGGGUAGCGAACAGGAUUAGAUACCCUUGUAGUCCCUGAGCGGGCUGGCAAGGCGCAU
rnacentral:rRNA from 1 species